UUAGUCAUGAAAUCAAACUGGAAACCAUGGGUGAAUCUGAACUGGUUUUAGAGCUGAAUGUGUGAUGAACAAGUGCAGAGCUGCCAUGAAUUGGGUCGAUUGAGGAAUGAUUCUGAAUUCAAACUGUGUUUGAGAUUCUAAAUGGCUUUGGAAUGGUGCAAACAAAUUUGUAUUGGCUGGCUACAAGUAAUCUCUUCCUCAGCAAAGGUGCAUAGCAGUGAAUAUGAAGUAGAUGAAGAUAGAAUUAUGAUAAGGAUGGCUUGAAGAUCAGGGCCAUAGCCUUUGAGGAAUUCUGUUUGCAACUGUUUGGUGUAGUCUUUUUUUUUAUAACUGUUAGAAAUAGAUUGUAGUAUCUUCGUACAUAUAACAAAAGAUAGGCGUGGUUUGUAAUGAGUUUAAAAAUUGUGGAAUGUGAUGUGAUGAACUCUUGAAGUUGAGAUGAACUCUUGAAUUAUGUA